UACGUAGGGUGCGAGCGUUAAUCGGAAUUACUGGGCGUAAAGCGUGCGCAGGCGGUUGUGCAAGUCAGAUGUGAAAUCCCCGGGCUUAACCUGGGAACUGCAUUUGUGACUGCACGGCUAGAGUGUGUCAGAGGGGGGUAGAAUUCCACGUGUAGCAGUGAAAUGCGUAGAUAUGUGGAGGAAUACCGAUGGCGAAGGCAGCCCCCUGGGAUAACACUGACGCUCAUGCACGAAAGCGUGGGGAGCAAACAGG
rnacentral:rRNA from 1 species